rnacentral:rRNA from 1 species
CCCUUAGAUGUCCGGGGCCGCACGCGCGCUACACUGAAGGAAUCAGCGUGGCUCUGUCCCUGGUCCGAAAGGAUUGGGAAACCCGUUGAAUCUCCUUCGUGAUAGGGAUUGGGGCUUGGAACUGUUCCCCAUGAACGAGGAAUUCCCAGUAAGCGCGAGUCAUAAGCUCGCGUUGAUUACGUCCCUGCCCUUUGUACACACCGCCCGUCGCUACUACCGAUUGAGUGAUCCGGUGAAUAAUUCGGACUGCAGCAGUGCUUGGUCCUCCGGGCUUUGCAGCGGAAAGUUUAGUGAACCUUAUCACUUAGAGGAAGGAGAAGUCGUAACA